rnacentral:rRNA from 1 species
GAGCACGCCGCGGAGUGAUGAGUUUCGAUCGUAAGCUCUGUGCAGAGAACGUCUUCUAGAGUACUGCUAGAGAGUGACGUACUGAGAAGAAGCCGGCUACUACGUGCAGCAGCGCGGUAAUACGUAGGGGCAGCGUGUCCGGAAUAUUGGGCGUAAAGCGCGCGCCAGGCCGUUCUUUAAGUCUGGUGGUUAAACCCGAGGCUCAACUUCGGGUCGCACUGGAAACUGGGGACUUGAGUGCAGAAGAGGAGAGUGGAAUUCCACGUGUAGCGGUUAAAUGCGUAGAUAUGGGAGGAACACCAGUGGCGAAGGCGACUCUCUGGGCUGUAACUGACGGUGAGGCGCGAAAGCGUGGGGAGCCAACAGGAUUAGAUACCCUGGUAGUUCACGCCGUAAACGAUGAAUGCUAGGUGUUAGGGGUUUCGAUACCCUUGGUGCCGAAGUUAACACAUUAAGCAUUCCGCCUGGGGAGUACGGUUGCAAGACUGAAACUCAAAGGAAUUGACGGGGACCCGCCCCAGCAGUGGAGUAUGUGGUUUAAUUUGAAGCAACGCGAAGAACCUUACCAAGUUUUGACAUCCCUUCGAAUCCUUUAGAGAUAGAGGCGGCCUUUGGGACAGAGGUGACAGGUGGUGCAUGGUUGUUGUCAGCUUGUGUUGUGAGAUGUUGGGUUAAGUCCCGCAACGAGCGCCACCCUUGAUUUUAGUUGCCAGCCCAUCAUGGUGGGCACUCUAGAAUGACUGCCGGUGACAAACCGGAGGAAGGCGGGGAUGACGUCAAAUCAUCAUGCCCCUUAUGACUUGGGCUACACACGUACUACAAUGGCUGGUACAACGGGAAGCGAAGCCGCGAGGUGGAGCCAAUCCUAUAAAAGCCAGUCUCAGUUCGGAUUGCAGGCUGCAACUCGCCUGCAUGAAGUCGGAAUUGCUAGUAAUCGCGGAUCAGCAUGCCGCGGUGAAUACGUUCCCGGGUCUUGUACACACCGCCCGUCACACCACGAGAGUUUACAACACCCGAAGUCGGUGGGGUAACCCUUACGGGAGCCAGCCGCCGAAAGGUGGA